AUGACUCAGUGGUGGAUCACUCGGCUCGUGCGUCGAUGAAGAACGCAGCUAGCUGCGAGAACUAAUGUGAAUUGCAGGACACAUUGAUCAUCGACACUUCGAAUGCACUUUGUGGCCCCGGGUUACUCCCGGGGCGACACCUGUCUUUGCGUCG